rnacentral:rRNA from 1 species
AGAGUUUGAUCAUGGCUCAGGACGAACGCUGGCGGCGUGCUUAACACAUGCAAGUCGAACGGUGAACUCCGCUUGCGGGGGGAUCAGUGGCGAACGGGUGAGUAACACGUGGGCAACCUGCCCUCAGCUCUGGGAUAACUCCAAGAAAUUGGGGCUAAUACCGGAUAUGACUGCUGACCGCAUGGUCUGGUGGUGGAAAGAUUUAUCGGCUGGGGAUGGGCCCGCGGCCUAUCAGCUUGUUGGUGGGGUAGUGGCCUACCAAGGCGACGACGGGUAGCCGGCCUGAGAGGGUGACCGGCCACACUGGGACUGAGACACGGCCCAGACUCCUACGGGAGGCAGCAGUGGGGAAUAUUGCGCAAUGGGCGAAAGCCUGACGCAGCGACGCCGCGUGGGGGAUGACGGCCUUCGGGUUGUAAACCUCUUUCAGCAGGGACGAAGCGAAAGUGACGGUACCUGCAGAAGAAGCACCGGCCAACUACGUGCCAGCAGCCGCGGUAAUACGUAGGGUGCAAGCGUUGUCCGGAAUUAUUGGGCGUAAAGAGCUCGUAGGCGGUUUGUUGCGUCGGCUGUGAAAUCCCGAGGCUCAACCUCGGGUCUGCAGUCGAUACGAGCAAACUAGAGUGUUGCAGGGGAGACUGGAAUUCCUGGUGUAGCGGUGAAAUGCGCAGAUAUCAGGAGGAACACCGGUGGCGAAGGCGGGUCUCUGGGCAACAACUGACGCUGAGGAGCGAAAGCGUGGGGAGCGAACAGGAUUAGAUACCCUAGUAGUCC